GGGGCUGCUGCCCUCUGUGGAGCUUGGCUUAAGUCUUUGUUCCGGGAAGCUGUGUCAGUUCGAGAUACUGCUGCUGCCCGAAGACCUGAGUUCAUGGGUCAGUUUCAAGAACCUGAAAGGGCAGACAGUGGAAGAUCUGCCUGUCACCAGCUUACUGGUGAGGCAACGAGGUGAUUUCAGACUUGCCCAGUCAUGUUGAAGUCAACUUUAAGGGACACACGAAGAGAAGAUGGC